rnacentral:rRNA from 1 species
GACGUAGGGUGCGAGCGUUGUCCGGAUUUAUUGGGCGUAAAGAGCUCGUAGGCGGCUCGUCGCGUCGGCUGUGAAAACCCGUGGCUUAACUGCGGGCUUGCAGCUGAUACGGGCGGGCUAGAGUUCGGUAGGGGAGACUGGAAUUCCUGGUGUAGCGGUGAAAUGCGCAGAUAUCAGGAGGAACACCGGUGGCGAAGGCGGCUCUCUGGGACGGUACUGACGCUGAGACGCGAAAGCGUGGGGAGCGAACAGG